UACGUAGGGUGCGAGCGUUAAUCGGAAUUACUGGGCGUAAAGCGUGCGCAGGCGGUUCGUUGUGUCGGCGGUGAAAGCCCCGGGCUUAACCUAGGAAUGGCCGUUGAAACUGGCGAACUGGAGUGUGGCAGAGGGGGGUGGAAUUCCGCGUGUAGCAGUGAAAUGCGUAGAGAUGUGGAGGAACACCGAUGGCGAAGGCAGCCCCCUGGGCUAACACUGACGCUCAGGCACGAAAGCGUGGGGAGCAAAUAGG
rnacentral:rRNA from 1 species